CCCGCUGUGCCACGAGCAUACAUACUGGAUGACUCUUUGUUUCCUCUUGUCCAGCUGGGAAUGCAGGAGGUGAUCUUGAAGGUUUGUGCAAGGAGCUAGAAUGGCCACAGAAGCAGAGAGAACGACAACAUAAAGAAGCAUUGCUACUGGAGCAGAUUUAUGAUUCAAUCACCGUCCUAGGAAAGAACUAGAGAUGUAGGUUGUCAACAAUGGCUACCACCUUUAGAAAACAUUUAGAAAAAUAAAAUUGUUAGGGAAGCUAAGUUAAGAUGUUUUUGCCAUUGGCUCUGGUGUAUAAAAUCAUAGGGAACAAUUUGAAGUUCAGAAAGGCAAACUCUUAUUAGUUAAGCUAGGGACCUUUUAUGGUCAAGGGACAGGAACAAUGGCAGCACUGGCUGACAUAACUCACUAAGGCUGGACUGGUAGUGAUUUAUUUCUUAUACUCAUUUUUGUCUUCAGCUUCCUGGUAUGAUUUAUUAAUAACUGCUGAUGAGCAGAUAUGCAUUCUGAGGAUUUAAAAUAGAUAUGACUGAUCUUUAUAUAUGGAAGUUCAGAUUUGUGAUUCUUUUAAGAUUCUUAUGAGAUUACUUUUAAAGAUAAACAAUAAGAUAAUCAAUCAUUUCUUUGUAACUACAAAUUGCUGCGUGCCAGUAAGAGAAAAUGGCUGAGAAAACUAUGUUGCUUUUUUAACUUUGUUAACCUAUAACAACUUGCUUGGUUAUGAAUAUAUGUGGGCUCUUAGGAAUAAUUUGUUUUCUUUACCUGUACUAUGGAAUGUUAUUUCUUGUAAAGGUGCUGCACUCACUCGUCUACCCCAUGGUCCGUGGCAUAAAGGUAUUGGAAAA